rnacentral:lncRNA from 1 species
UUCCAGGCUUGACCCUAUCAAAGGUUGCCUCAGAGUCAGGUUGGGAGGUUACCAUAAAGCAGCCCAGCCUCAGAAAUGGACAAGCCUUUCUGGAAGCCAAGACCAAGUGGAGAGACAUGCCACUGAGACAGGACCCAAUGGUCUGUCACCAGCUGCCAGAAAGAUGGCUCUCCUACAUCAAACACUAGGGCAAGAUAAACAGCAUCCCUAAGACCUUCCCUGGACAGAUUUGGGCUGGAGGGCACAAUGAGGCCUGACAGUUUCAUUCUGGGUUUGCCAUGGGUUCUAUACAAAGCCAGAAGCUGGGUGGGAAGGGAAUCUCCCCAAUUACCUGAGACGACUUUGGUAGGCAAAGUAAAAUGGGAAAUGGGGCAGAAAUAGACAGCCAGACUGUCAGCUAAAGCCAGCUCUGGUGAGCCUGAAGUUCGGAGACCCCUGCGCCCCCUGCUGGUCCCUCAGACAGGCUGCUGCCUUUUGGGCUUCCUUCUCCUCAGGGGGCUUUCUGGUCCUUUCUAUUUGCCUCUGUAUCUGGAAUGACUGCUUCACCUCUCCCCAUCUCCCCUCACUCGUUUUAAUCUUUUCAGUUUCGGACAUAGCCUGGAGCUGCUCCCUCUACCCUGCCAUGACCCGGCUUCUUCCUUUUUUUUUUUUUUCUUUUUUUGAGACAGUGUCUCACUCUGUCACCCAGGCUGGAGUGCAGUGGCGUGAUCUGGGCUCACUGCAACCUCCACCUCCUGGGUUCAAGCAAUUCUCCUGCCUCAGCCUCCCAAGUAGCUGGGACUACAGGUGCGCACCACCACGCCUGGCUAAUUUUUGUAUUUUUAGUUGAGAUGAGGUUUUACUAUGUUGGGCAGGCAGGUCUUGAACUCCUGACCUCAGGUGAUCUGUCCGCCUUGGCCUCCCAGAGUGUUAGGAUUACAGGCGUGAGCCACCGCACCUGGCCCCAGCUUCUUCCUUUCUAACAAAAACCUGAGUCUGACCAAAUCUCUCUCUCUCUCUUUUUUUUUUUUUUUUUUUUUUUGGUAGUAUAUGAGCCAUCCUCUUCAAGAAGCCUGGAAACCCUGCUUCCCCACCUACAGGCAUGCCCCUCAGGACUGUGAAAGUGGCAGCUUUCCUCUCCCUGCCUCAGCCAUCACUUCAGAGCAGGCUACUGCUGCUGCCUCCCAGAGGGGCUUGCAGCCUCCAGCUCUUGCUCCUCCCCUCUGUCUCUAGCGCUGCAGAAACAGAUCUUUUAUAGGGCCUUUGAGGUUGGCCCCACUAGCUUUCUCAUGACAGCCCUCCACUAUGCUCCAGAUUGGUCCAGGAAUACUCUCUUUCUCUUUCCAAAUCCUGUCCACUUAGCACGUUCUGAUAACUCCAGUGUUCACACUCCAGCCCAUCUCCGCCAUGCCCUCCCCUGAGGCUCCUGCUGCCAGGCCACUGCUAUGCCAUUGUCUCUUGAGUGUGUUUGUCUUCUGAGAUUGGAAGCACCAGGAGGUCAACAUCUUCCACCUCCCAUAAGGCCAAGGGCAAUGCCAGGCUCCCAAUGUGCACUCAAAGGAUCAUUUUGAAUGCUGCUCCUCUCCUAAUGACCUCCUGGCCCCACCUCAGAGUUCUUUGGGGUGUGGCAGGGCCGGGAUGUGGCUGGGUCUCCCAAGGCUGUCAUUGUCAGGUCACUGCAGAAGGAGGAGAGAUAUGGGGACAUUUUCUAGAAAGGGUGAGAACAAGAGGGAGAUUGGGUGAGGGAGGGAAGACCACUCAGGGAUGAGAUCCCUGGGUGUUAGUCACCACACUAGUGGGGAAGCCCAUGCGGGACUUGGAGGAUGUGGAUCCAGGGGAAGCCCCCAAAUCUCAUAGUUGCUUUGUUCUAUCGUCUCUCCCCAUGCCUUCAAAGGCGGCCUGCCUUCCCAGUUCCCAGCCUCCCGCCAGAUUCUUGCGUGACCUCGGGCGGCACCCAGUGCUGCUGUGGACAGCUCAUUCCGCCGCGGCGGCGGCUGCGGCUGCGGCGGCUACAACGGCUCCCGGCGUGUCCCCGGCGCCGCCAGGGGGCGAAUGGGGUGCCCGCCGGCUCCUCGGACUCCGGGCGCGCCGGCACUGCGCUCCGGAGAGGCCCGGCCAGGGAAGAAGCAACUUCCCUCCGCCGCCGCAGACCAGCCGGGCAGAGACUUCCAGCCCCACCCUCAAGCCCUCUCGGUGGCUCUGUGCGCCCAGGCCUAGGGGUGGGGGGCCGUAGGUGCUGCGCGCCCGCACAGGUGGUCAGGCCGUCAGCAUGCCUGGCUCGUCGCGCACAGAACACUGCCCAGGGGUUCACCCAGCUCCCCUCCCUCCCCUCCGCUGCCCUCCUGGCAGCUCCAGCUCUGCUCUCGCGGCUUUCCAGGUUUUGGGGUGGGUGAUUGAGUAGGCCGCACCUGGGACACUGUGACUGGAGGACGCCGGAAUUUAAGGAGGGGACGAGGGAGACGCAGCUCUGUUUCUCGCUGUACCCCCUCACCCCUCCGAAGCAGCCGCGGGCGGUGCGCAGGCCGUUCUCUGCGUCCUCGGGCUCUGGGUGAGGCUGGGUGCAGCGGGAGAGACCCGGGGCGAGCUGCUGGGGGCUGUGUGGCCGGCCCCAAGCUGGCCGCGCGCACACGCUGCGCACCUGUUGGAGCGGGCCUCUGCCUGUUCGGACCCGAGCCGGGCCUCCACGACACAGUCCCCUUGGGCGGCGAAACGGCCACAUCUAGCUUUAGGUUUGAAAGGAAAACAAAAUAGGGGGAAAAAAGUGGGUUUACAGUUGCAUACAUGGACUCUCUGGGUCAGCUCUUGAUGAGGACCAAAUAUCAGUAGGUCUUUUGGGGCUGCAGCCAACAAGCUGGCAGCUGAGGACAGAGACCUGCUCCCUGGCCUUGGCACUGCUGGAGAUCUUUCAGCUUGAUGAGAUGCAGUUUUCACAGAAAAAUUCUGUUCCUUAGAACCCAAGUGAGUCUUUCUCAAAACUGCCAGAGUUGGUGAUAAACCUGUGUUAAAAAAAAAAAAAAAAAAUUCCCCUGUGUGUCCACAUACUAGCCAGUAUCCACUCCAGGUAAAAGUUUCUACCAUUGAGUAAAAGGAAGUUAUGUUUAGGAAGUUUUUGAAACAGCCCCUCUCUACUUGUCUGCUAGUUAAUCACCCACAUUUUGUUUUGGUUUGGUUUGGUUAGAUUUGGUGGGGUUUUUUUUAUUUGUUUUCGUUUUUUGCAACUUAAAGCAAGAAUUAAAAGUUAAUUCUGAAGCUUCACAUAUGCUUUGGCUUCAAAUCCUAACAUUCAGCACAGGUUUCCACAUGGGGAGUGCCAGGUCUGACAUCUGUGUCAGUCCUUAUUUUGAUUCAGGGUUGGUUAGAUAGAUGCUCAAAUCAUUGAGGGAGGGAAGUCCUGGAUGAGGGCACUGCACUGCCCACCAGGGUGUCCAUGAGACACUUUAUAACCUAAGUGUCUUUCAGACUCUGAGGUGUGGGACUGGGUUGCAAACUCCAGACAUUAACUUUCUUUAGCAUCUGGAACCUGGGUCCUAGGAGACUAUUUCCUCCUUACUUCAUCCAGACAUCAAAAAUAGACCCAGCAAUUGAUCCCAUGUUUAGAGGCCCUCAGUGACUCUGCAUCCCCAAGGGGAGCCUCAUCUCCCAGGACACAGCACUGACACUCUGCAGACAGUACAGGGGAUCUACUCCAAGCCCAGGGCAAGACCCCACACCCACUCCCUCUGUCCUUACCUUGCUGCAGUAUUGUGUCUUCCUCAAAUUUUCUCAUAGGUGAGUGCUUACCAGGAGUGGCUCCCACAGAGCUUCCCCAUUCACCCAAACCUGUCUGGAAGAGCACCCCAGUUCAGCCACCCAAACCUCACCUCUCACCCUCUUCCAGUUAGCACUGCCUUUUCUCCUUAUCCCUGCCAGGGACCCCUUUCUUCCCAGGAGAGAUACCCAAAUUGUGAGUAUCCCACACAAUUUAAUGGGAACCUACUUUGUGCCAGGCACCAGGCCACGGGUUGUGGAUGCAAAAACAACCAUGGGAGGAGGAGCUGGGAUUGGGGCAUUUAAUGAAAGAACUCCUAGGAGAGGAGUGAUGAGGUUUGGCACAUUGACAUUCACACACCCCACCCACCCCCAGCCUCCACUCCACUGGUUCUCUGGCCUUCUCAUUUUUUUUUUUUUUUUGUUUUUUUUUUUUUUUUGGAGACAGAGUGCUAAGAAAGGUGGGUGCGGUAGGCAGAGGCAAGAGGGGAGUCCUGUGGGUGGGCUGGCCAGAAAUCACAGGCCCUUAAGGCAGGAGGAACCUGGCACAGCCAGACCCUCGGACAAUCUCCCUAGGCCAGCACAACCACAUCGCUGCGAACUGGACCGGGAACAUUCCAACCUAAUCGCAGCUCAGAUCAGCGAGCUCCGGAGGCUCCACACAUUGGGGCCGAACUCCACCCAGGGUGCCUGCCACUUUUGGGUAGGGGGGCGGGUGGGGGGCAGCCUGCUCUCUCACCAGGCCAGGCAGCAGCGGGGACUUCCAGAUCCUCAAGGAUUCUCCAGACCGUUGUCUGGAGACCCAGAGUUUUUUCCUCUCCAGCUUCUGGGGCAACUUGGUGGGGCAGAGGGGUGGCCCCACCUGUGGGAGGGACUGAAAAGAUCCUGCCUCAGGACCAGGACUUUGGUGAUCCCAGUUCUCAAGGACCCCCUGCUCAGGCUGCUAUUAUCCAAAAGGGCCGAGGGUCAGGAUUUCAGCCCCAGCCCGGGCCCAAGCCUGCACUGUUGCCUCUACCAGGUCCAGCCCUGUCCUGCGCCCCACAGAGCGGAAGGACACAGGCCAGGAUAUGGGCACAACAGCCCCCAGUCCGGAAGUGAGUGGUCAGGUGGCCAAUGGGACCGCAGACUCUGUUGUUGUGUAAUAGUUUUUAUUUAUUAAGCUUCUUUUAUUUAAUAAAACUUUUAUUAAAGCUUCUAUUCUUCUAUUACGCAAACAGAGAGCAGCUCUUUUCCUAAGGGAGUGGCAGGGCAUGGGGACAGAUGUCUUAAAUAUACUACCCAAUGUCACCAAUUUCAACUUGACAAUGAAAAGACAGAGAGCGGAAGGAAGCCCCUUCCUCUUUAUGCACUGGAGCGCUUCCUCCAUCUCCUCACCCCUCCCCCAGCCCCCUCCCUCCUCCUCUCUCUCUCUCCUUGGCAUAAGAAAGCAGGUCUCUGGCAUUGGCAAAGAGAAAAGUUAAAGGCAGAGAAGCAGUGAGAGGAAGGGAGGACAGGCAGGGAGGAAGGUUCCCCAGCGGACCUAGCUGACCGUCCCCUGGAGGCCAGCCAAAGUGUGCGUGGCCACGGCUCAGAAUUUGCAUCAGUAACAGCACCAGCAGCCCCUGCAGCGGCAAGGGAGAUCAUUUAUCCAGUGCUUGCUAUGUGUCCGGCCCUGUGCUUAAGUAUUUUUCAUUCAUUAUCUUUUUUAAUCCAACCAAACCUCAGGAGAGUUUAUUAAUUCCAUUUAACAAAUGAGGCAACUGAGGCUCAGAGAAUUUAAGAGGCCUCUAAUUAGGGCAGUCCUUUUUGCACUCUGCAACCCAUCUGACCUCUUCCUUCUCAAGCCCUGGUCUGCAGCCCAUCCUUCCAGAGCUGGAGAGGAGGCAGGACAGGCUCAGGAAGGUUCUACUUUUUCCCUACUCUCACAGCCCCCUACUUCCACCUGUCCCAUAGCUGUUUAAUUCCAUUGUCUCAAAAAUGAGGGCUGCUUGGGUUUUCAUGGGGAGGGAGCAGACAGCAGGGCCAGUGCACCCUGGCACGUGGGAAGGGGCCUGAGCCCAGCUUGGCAUACUGACCUGGCACGGCCUGGCUAGCAUCGUCGUCCCACACGUCAGAGUAGCCAUGGUCGCUUUUGUUAGCUGGGAUUACUGCAUUCAGGAGGGAGGAGGAGAGAAAGGAGGGGUCCCAGGCUGAGGUGGGAAAGGGAGGGGGCGCCACAAACUCCUAGGAACUCCAAGCCCCUGGGACUCAGUUACUCCCUGCCCCGAGUGGCUUUCUCUUCCUCCCCACUCCUGCUUGCUCUGCCUCCAUCAUGGCUGGGGCAACUGGGACCAGCGGGAGCCCUGCCUGACUCCCACAUUUAGA